GACGAUUCCUACGGGAGGCAGCAGUAGGGAAUCUUCCGCAAUGGACGAAAGUCUGACGGAGCAACGCCGCGUGAGUGAUGAAGGCUUUCGGGUCGUAAAACUCUGUUGUAAGGGAAGAACAAGUACAGUAGUAACUGGCUGUACCUUGACGGUACCUUAUUAGAAAGCCACGGCUAACUACGUGCCAGCAGCCGCGGUAAU
rnacentral:rRNA from 1 species